rnacentral:misc_RNA from 1 species
CAACCAUCAAGCCCCGGGCUUGUGUUGGGGACCUGCGGCUGCCGCAGGCCCUGAAAUGCAGUGGCGGGCUCGCUGUCACUCCGAGCGUAGUAAUACAUCUCGCUCUGGACGUGCUGCGGGUUCCGGCCGUUAAAAGCCUUAUUUACCCAAGG